UCUUUAAUAGCUCAGCGGUAGAGCGGAUGGCUGUUAACCAUCAAGUCGUUGGUUCGAAUCCAACUUGAAGAG
rnacentral:tRNA from 1 species